rnacentral:rRNA from 1 species
AUACGGAGGGUGCAAGCGUUGUCCGGAUUUAUUGGGUUUAAAGGGUGCGUAGGCGGAUCUUUAAGUCAGUGGUGAAAUCCUGCAGCUUAACUGUAGAACUGCCAUUGAUACUGGAGAUCUUGAGUAUACUAGAGGUAGGCGGAAUUUAUGGUGUAGCGGUGAAAUGCAUAGAUACCAUAAAGAACACCAAUAGCGUAGGCAGCUUACUGGAGUAUAACUGACGCUGAGGCACGAAAGCAUGGGUAGCGAACAGGAUUAGAUACCCUUGUAGUCC